rnacentral:tRNA from 1 species
UCUAAUGUGGCAGAUUAGUGCAAUGGAUUUAAGACCCAUUUAUAAAGAUUAUUCUUUUUUUAGAA